AUUAAACGCUGGCGGCAUGCCUUACACAUGCAAGUCGAACGGCAGCACGGGGGCAACCCUGGUGGCGAGUGGCGGACGGGUGAGUAAAGCAUCGGAACGUAUCCUGGAGUGGGGGAUAACGUAGCGAAAGUUACGCUAAUACCGCAUAUUCUGUGAGCAGGAAAGCAGGGGAUCGCAAGACCUUGCGUUCUGGGAGCGGCCGAUGUCGGAUUAGCUAGUUGGUGGGGUAAAGGCCUACCAAGGCGACGAUCCGUAGCGGGUCUGAGAGGAUGAUCCGCCACACUGGGACUGAGACACGGCCCAGACUCUUACGGGAGGCAGCAGUGGGGAAUUUUGGACAAUGGGCGCAAGCCUGAUCCAGCCAUGCCGCGUGAGUGAAGAAGGCCUCGGUUGUAAGACGUCUUCG
rnacentral:rRNA from 1 species